GGUAGGGUGGUGUUGUUACACCUACACUCCCUGCUUUUACAUUCACAUUCAAUCAGCCCAACUAUCGUCAGCCUAGUCACUGAUAACCUCCACUUAGAUGGAGAUAAAAGGACCAGACGUUGUGUGCGUGCAUUACGGUGUCUGUAACCACACCCCUUCUCCUGUUGAGGUGCUUUCCUGAUUUGCCGGCCCUGUAUUCCUAGCCUUCCCUCUGACGCUCGCCUUCGGUAUGUCCUUGUCCCUGCAUGUUCAGUGAGGAACCGUACUUCGCCGCUGACCUCGUCGUUCCUGUGAUAACCGUCUGAUAACUGCCUGAUCACAAAGGUGCUGCUGUUUUGUUUAAGCCUGACAAUGCGUGUGUGAUUCAGCAUGCUCGUGACUCUGCCA